rnacentral:SRP_RNA from 1 species
GCCGGGUGCAGUGGCGUGCACCUGUAAUCCGGCUUCUCGGAGGCUUGGGUUGAGGGAUCGCUCGAGGACGGAUCACCUGCUCCACACCUCGCUAUGUUGAUCGGGCGUCCACACCAAGCUCGGCAUCGACAUGGGGAGCUGGGGGUAGUCCUUGUGCUCUCCAGGUCUCCUAAGGAGGGAUGAACCGACCCAGGCCGGUAACGGAGCAGGUCAAAGUCCCCGUGUUGAUCAGUGGUGGGACAGCGCUCGUGAAUAGAGGGUGUGGAGCGGCCCGGUCUCAGGGCGAAACACAAUCCUU